UCCUGAUAGCUCAAUUGGUAAAGAAUUGGCCUGCAAUGCAGGAGACCCAGGUUCAAUUCCUGGGUCAGGAA
rnacentral:tRNA from 1 species